rnacentral:rRNA from 1 species
GACGAACGCUGGCGGCGUGCUUAACACAUGCAAGUCGAACGGAAAGGCCCUGCUUUUGUGGGGUGCUUGAGUGGCGAACGGGUGAGUAACACGUGAGUAACCUGCCCUUGACUUUGGGAUAACUUCAGGAAACUGGGGCUAAUACCGGAUAGGAGCUCCUGCUGCAUGGUGGGGGUUGGAAAGUUUCGGCGGUUGGGGAUGGACUCGCGGCUUAUCAGCUUGUUGGUGGGGUAGUGGCUUACCAAGGCUUUGACGGGUAGCCGGCUUGAGAGGGUGACCGGCCACAUUGGGACUGAGGUACGGCCCAGACUCCUACGGGAGGCAGCAGUGGGAGAGAUUGCGCAAUGGGCGGAAGCCUGAUGCAGCAACGCCGCGGGCGGGAUGACGGCCUUCGGGUUGUAAACCGCUUUCGCCUGUGACGAAGCGUGAGUGACGGUAAUGAGUAAAGAAGCACCGGCUAACUACGUG